GAGAGGCUCACAGACUAGUCAGCGAGUCCCGCCAAAACGAGUCUUAAGGCCCUGGAGGUUUGUUGUUGUGGGAAUUUUGGCGGGAGGCGAGCGAGAGAGAGACAGGGUGCAGAGUAGUGGUGGAUUUGCCAUUUGAUUUGCAGGGUGGUGAUUUGUACGCUUGGUUGGCAGGAGUUUGGUCUUGGCAGUGUGCUGUGGGACGUCAGUGAGGUGGCACCGUAGCAGAUACUGUGAACUAGGAGGCUGCAGUGAGGAACUUGCUGUCCCUGGCUGCUAUGGUGUUAGUACCGCCGUGCAUGGAGGAAGAGCUGCAGUACUUCAGGGUAGUGGUAGUGGCGUACCUUCAGCGCGUUGGGUCGGUGUGCGGUUGGGCCUAUAGGGUGUGAGGGUCCUGGGGGUACUGGUUAGGGUGGGACUGUCAGUGGCAUAUAACAUUUCUUGUGUUGGUGCGUGAAGUGUUUAUUUCUCCUGUUUAUUUGAAUGUGGAUUUACCCAUUUUCUCAUGGGAUCAGGUAUUUUGGAGUGCCAGCAGUGUGGCCUCUAAGAGUGUUAAGCACUCAUAUUUUAUUUGUGUUUUCUUUAUUAUGUACUCAUUUGUGUUUUCUUUAUUAUGUAUUCAAUCAUUAAAUUUUUAAAUUGUG